rnacentral:rRNA from 1 species
GCCAGACUCCUACGGGAGGCAGCAGUGGGGAAUAUUGCACAAUGGGGGAAACCCUGAUGCAGCGACGCCGCGUGAGCGAUGAAGUAUUUCGGUAUGUAAAGCUCUAUCAGCAGGGACGAAGCAAGUGACGGUACCUGAGGAAUAAGCCACGGCUAACUACGUGCCAGCAGCCGCGGUAAUACGUAGGUGGCAAGCGUUAUCCGGAUUUACUGGGUGUAAAGGGCGUGUAGGCGGGAAAGCAAGUCAGAUGUGAAAACCAUGGGCUCAACCUGUGGCCUGCAUUUGAAACUGUUUUUCUUGAGUACUGGAGAGGCAGACGGAAUUCCUAGUGUAGCGGUGAAAUGCGUAGAUAUUAGGAGGAACACCAGUGGCGAAGGCGGUCUGCUGGACAGCAACUGACGCUGAGGCGCGAAAGCGUGGGGAGCAAACAGGAUUAGAUCCCCGAGUA